UUGCUUUCUUUCCAUUGGGAUGCCAGACUCAUGGAAUGCUGACAAGCAGCUCAGGAGAGAUGAAAUGCAGCCCAAAAUCGAGGUCCAAGCCCAUGUUACUCAUGGUGUUUCUCAGGGUGUUUCUCAGAUGUAAAGUAACUUUAUGGUCUUAGACAUGAAGAAUUUGGAGAAUUCCAGUGAACAGCAUCUAUUAUAAAACUCUUAUUCUCUGAGGAAAGGUAUUAUCUUUCUCAAAAAAGGCAGUAACAUCUUUCUCAAGGUCUUAAGGACCUGAAGAUUAAUUAAUUUCCAGAGAAAACAGAUAUUUUGUGUCAAAUGUCCUGGAUGUCAAUUUGUCAUCAGAAGAUUAUUGAUUUGCAUUUGAAACUGGAGAUGAAGAUUUCUGAUGGAGUGGAAAUGAAAAAUUAUGGCAAUGAUUCCCCAACUCAUCCUAAUAAUUGCCUAUGAGUCUCCACCAGUUUCUUGAUGAAGCUCUCUGAUGAUAAUUGGACUAGACUCUAAUAUAUAGUAAAGCACAAUAUCGUCUCUGUGGCAUCUAGACACUGUUUCCUGGAAGCAGACAUCAGCUGUAGGCUUCCACUCAUGGCAUGGACCUCAAGUUGUACCAAUUAUUCAUUUGGCCACACCAUCAUCAAUUGCAGACAGAAAAAAAUUAUAAGGAUCAGAAAUUUUGGGAAUCUGAUAUGAAAUACGUAAGAACAAAGCACAAUGUUUUUAUUUCAUGAAAAGCUCAAAUCAUUAUACUAUCACAUGUUAGCAUCUUAACACAGCACUGAAUCCAUACUGGGAUCAAAGUUGGUACCAUGGGAAUAGUUAUUUAAUAGAAAGCAGAAUAUUUGUGACAACUGCCAUUCCUAUUCAACAAAUUGGCAAGCAAUGCAUCAAAAUCAUGUAAACUCAGUAAAAAAAAGCUGAAUAAAAUACAGAAUGGCCAAAAAUAAAACUACUCAGGUCAGAAAUAUGUUUUUGAAUGUAAUGUAGCCACAACCAUGUUUUGAAGAGAAACCUCAGCACUUGGAAGAAAUAUAAUCCAAUAGCAUAACAGAAAGGAGGCUUUGUCUGGUUAUGAGGCGUGAAAGUACAAGGCAGAACUCUCCUCAGUAAAGAUUGCAACCCUCCUACAGAGAGCUGAACUGUAUGCAAGAGCCUAACCCAGCAAGGAAGACUUUCUGAGCUUACUGAUUUGGUUUUACAAAAAGAUUGACAGCAGCUCUAUUACAACCUGUAAAUUUAGCUGCAAAAUACAACUUGGUGUAUGUGGGAAAACAUGUUUAUCCAAGCAAAGAAAAAGCUUGAAAUU
rnacentral:lncRNA from 1 species